GAUGAACGCUGGCGGCGUGCCUAAUACAUGCAAGUCGAGCGAAUGGAUUAAGAGCUUGCUCUUAUGAAGUUAGCGGCGGACGGGUGAGUAACACGUGGGUAACCUGCCCAUAAGACUGGGAUAACUCCGGGAAACCGGGGCUAAUACCGGAUAAUAUUUUGAACUGCAUGGUUCAAAAUUGAAAGGCGGCCUCGGCUGUCACUUAUGGAUUGACCCGCGACGCAUUAGCUAGUUGGGGUGGUAACGGCUCACCAAGGCAACGAUGCGUAGCCGACCUGAGAGGGUGAUCGGACACACUGGGACUGAGACACGGCCCAGACUCCUACGGGAGGCAGCAGUAGGGAAUCUUCCGCAAUGGACGAAAGUCUGACGGAGCAACGCCGCGUGAGUGAUGAAGGCUUUCGGGUCGUAAGACUCUGUUGUUAGGGAAGAACAAGUGCUAGUUGAAUAAGCUGGCACCUUGACGGUACCUAACCAGAAAGCCACGGCUAACUACGUGCCAGCCGCCGCAGUAA
rnacentral:rRNA from 1 species